GACGAACGCUGGCGGCGUGCUUAACACAUGCAAGUCGAACGGAAAGGCCCUGCUUUUGUGGGGUGCUCGAGUGGCGAACGGGUGAGUAACACGUGAGUAACCUGCCCUUGACUUUGGGAUAACUUCAGGAAACUGGGGCUAAUACCGGAUAGGAGCUCCUGCUGCAUGGUGGGGGUUGGAAAGUUUCGGCGGUUGGGGAUGGACUCGCGGCUUAUCAGCUUGUUGGUGGGGUAGUGGCUUACCAAGGCUUUGACGGGUAGCCGGCCUGAGAGGGUGACCGGCCACCUUGGGCCUGCGAUACGGCCCAGUCUCCUACGGGAGGCAGCAGUGGGGAAUCUUGCCCAAUGGGCGGAAGCCUGAUGCAGCAACGCCGCGUGCGGGAUGACGGCCUUCGGGUUGUAAACCGCUUUCGCCUGUGACGAAGCGUGAGUGACGGUAAUGGGUAAAGAAGCACCGGCUAACUACGUG
rnacentral:rRNA from 1 species